AUUGCUUCUCGGCCUUUUGGCUAAGAUCAAGUGAAGAAACUCUGGAUGAGUCUUGGUGGGAUGACAGGACUCACUUUUAACACUUUUUGUUUGGGGAUCAUAAGUAUAACUCCAUGGUUUGACUCCUCCUAGGAAAUGUACAACUUUG
ensembl:snRNA U2 U2 spliceosomal RNA